AUUCCAGCUCCAAUAGCGUAUAUUAAAGUUGUUGCGGUUAAAAAGCUCGUAGUUGGAUUUCAGCAGAGUGAUAGGUCUACUUCGUAGCAUCUAGAGCUUUGUUUUUUUGGAUAUCAAGUCUUUGAUUGAUUUCAACAGACUUGUUCUAAAACAGUUACUUUGAGGAAAUUAGAGUGUUUCAAGCAGAUUAUUGUCAUGUAUAUAUUAGCAUGGAAUAACAUCAAGGAUUUUAAUCUUUUUUGUUGGUUUGAUGAUUAAAAUAAUGAUAAAUAGGGACAGUCGGGGGCAUUUGUAUUUAACAGUCAGAGGUGGAAUUCUUGGAUUUGUUAAGGACAAACUACUGCGAAAGCAUUUGCCAAGGAUGUUUUCAUCG
rnacentral:rRNA from 1 species